UUGAACGCUGGCGGCAGGCCUAACACAUGCAAGUCGAGCGGUAGCACAGAGAGCUUGCUCUCGGGUGACGAGCGGCGGACGGGUGAGUAAUGUCUGGGAAACUGCCUGAUGGAGGGGGAUAACUACUGGAAACGGUAGCUAAUACCGCAUAAUGUCGCAAGACCAAAGUGGGGGACCUUCGGGCCUCAUGCCAUCAGAUGUGCCCAGAUGGGAUUAGCUAGUAGGUGGGGUAACGGCUCACCUAGGCGACGAUCCCUAGCUGGUCUGAGAGGAUGACCAGCCACACUGGAACUGAGACACGGUCCAGACUCCUACGGGAGGCAGCAGUGGGGAAUAUUGCACAAUGGGCGCAAGCCUGAUGCAGCCAUGCCGCGUGUGUGAAGAAGGCCUUCGGGUUGUAAAGCACUUUCAGCGGGGAGGAAGGCGGUGAGGUUAAUAACCUCAUCGAUUGACGUUACCCGCAGAAGAAGCACCGGCUAACUCCGUGCCAGCAGCCGCGGUAAUACGGAGGGUGCAAGCGUUAAUCGGAAUUACUGGGCGUAAAGCGCACGCAGGCGGUCUGUCAAGUCGGAUGUGAAAUCCCCGGGCUCAACCUGGGAACUGCAUUCGAAACUGGCAGGCUAGAGUCUUGUAGAGGGGGGUAGAAUUCCAGGUGUAGCGGUGAAAUGCGUAGAGAUCUGGAGGAAUACCGGUGGCGAAGGCGGCCCCCUGGACAAAGACUGACGCUCAGGUGCGAAAGCGUGGGGAGCAAACAGGAUUAGAUACCCUGGUAGUCCACGCCGUAAACGAUGUCGAUUUGGAGGUUGUGCCCUUGAGGCGUGGCUUCCGGAGCUAACGCGUUAAAUCGACCGCCUGGGGAGUACGGCCGCAAGGUUAAAACUCAAAUGAAUUGACGGGGGCCCGCACAAGCGGUGGAGCAUGUGGUUUAAUUCGAUGCAACGCGAAGAACCUUACCUGGUCUUGACAUCCACAGAACUUUCCAGAGAUGGAUUGGUGCCUUCGGGAACUGUGAGACAGGUGCUGCAUGGCUGUCGUCAGCUCGUGUUGUGAAAUGUUGGGUUAAGUCCCGCAACGAGCGCAACCCUUAUCCUUUGUUGCCAGCGGUCCGGCCGGGAACUCAAAGGAGACUGCCAGUGAUAAACUGGAGGAAGGUGGGGAUGACGUCAAGUCAUCAUGGCCCUUACGACCAGGGCUACACACGUGCUACAAUGGCAUAUACAAAGAGAAGCGACCUCGCGAGAGCAAGCGGACCUCAUAAAGUAUGUCGUAGUCCGGAUUGGAGUCUGCAACUCGACUCCAUGAAGUCGGAAUCGCUAGUAAUCGUAGAUCAGAAUGCUACGGUGAAUACGUUCCCGGGCCUUGUACACACCGCCCGUCACACCAUGGGAGUGGGUUGCAAAAGAAGUAGGUAGCUUAACCUUCGGGAGGGCGCUUACCACUUUGUGAUUCAUGACUGGGGUG
rnacentral:rRNA from 1 species